rnacentral:rRNA from 1 species
UAUAUAAGUUAUCGUUUAUUUGAUAGUACCUUACUACUUGGAUAACCGUGGUAAUUCUAGAGCUAAUACAUGCUAAAAAUCCCGACUUCGGAAGGGAUGUAUUUAUUAAAUUAAAAACCAAUGCCCUCUGGGCUCUCUGGUGAUUCAUGAUAACUUCUCGAAUCGCAUGGGCUUGCGCCGGCGAUGGUUCAUUCAAAUUUCUUCCCUAUCAACUUUCGAUGUUUGGGUAUUGGCCAAACAUGGUUGCAACGGGUAACGGAGGGUUAGGGCUCGACCCCGGAGAAGGAGCCUGAGAAACGGCUACUACAUCCAAGGAAGGCAGCAGGCGCGCAAAUUACCCAAUCCCGACACGGGGAGGUAGUGACAAUAAAUACUGAUACAGGGCUCUUUUGGGUCUUGUAAUUGGAAUGAGUACAAUUUAAAUCCCUUAACGAGGAACAAUUGGAGGGCAAGUCUGGUGCCAGCAGCCGCGGUAAUUCCAGCUCCAAUAGCGUAUAUUAAAGUUGUUGUGGUUAAAAAGCUCGUAGUUGAACCUUGGGCCUGGCUGGCCGGUCCGCCUCACCGCGUGUACUGGUCCGGCCGGGCCUUUCCCUCUGUGGAACCCCAUGCCCUUCACUGGGUGUGGCGGGGAAACAGGACUUUUACUUUGAAAAAAUUAGAGUGCUCCAGGCAGGCCUAUGCUCGAAUACAUUAGCAUGGAAUAAUGAAAUAGGACGUGCGGUUCUAUUUUGUUGGUUUCUAGGACCGCCGUAAUGAUUAAUAGGGACAGUCGGGGGCAUCAGUAUUCAAUUGUCAGAGGUGAAAUUCUUGGAUUUAUUGAAGACUAACUACUGCGAAAGCAUUUGCCAAGGAUGUUUUCAUUAAUCAGGAACGAAAGUUAGGGGGAUCGAAGACGAUCAGAUACCGUCGUAGUCUUAACCAUAAACUAUGCCGACUAGGGAUCGGACGAUGUUAUUUUUUGACUCGUUCGGCACCUUACGAGAAAUCAAAG